GAUUCAUGUUUGAGAGAAUACAUAUGAUACUUAUCUGGAUUGUUUUGCUCAAUACAGUGAACAAGCAAACAAAUGGACAGAUAGGCAAAUGAAUGAAAGUGUCUCAGGAGAAGCACAAAUGGCCAGUGAACGUAUGAAAAAUUGGUAGCACCCUUAACCACCAGGCAAACACAAGUCAAAACUAUACUGACACACCUUAGUAGGAAUGGCUAUCCUAAAAUAUCAAAGGACGUGCUAGUUCAGAAUAUUUGUAAGUAAUAUGUAUGGACAACUGAUGGCUUCUGGAAGAGAGAGUGUCUUAAUUGUCUUUCAAUUGCUAUGGUAAGACACCACGAUCAAGGCAACCUGCAGAAGUACAGUCUGCUAGGGGCUUACAGUUUUAGUGGCGAGUCUACACCGUUAUGGCAGCAGCAUGUAGGCAUGAUGCUGGAGCAGCAGCUGAGAAUUUAUAUCCUAAUCUACAGGCACAAGGAAUGAUAUGGGAUUUUGAAAUCUCAAAGCCAGCCCUCAGUGACACACCACCUCCAUCAAGGCCACAACUCCUAAUCUUUCCCAAACAGUUUCACUAACUGCUAACCAAACUUUCAAAUACAUGUACCAGCAGGGCCUAUGCUGGUAUGUCCACCAGGCUCGAUGGACCCACACCCAGGAGUAUUUUGGACAAUACACAAUAGAAUGCCUUUUUUUUUUUUUUUUUUUUUUUUAAAGACACAAAGUUGAGAGCUAGGGUGAUAAGGUGGAUCUGGGAGGAGUUAAGGAGAGACGUUGGGCUAAAUAUGAUCAAAAUUUAUUGUAUAAAUUCUUAAAGUAAUAAUAAAAAUAUCUUUAAAAAUUAAAAAAUUAGAAAUGUUUCUCUUUUAUUUUUUUGGUAAUUAAUUUACUUUAUACCCUGAUUACAGCCCUCCCUCUUCUCCCAGUUCAUCCUCUCUAUAUGACUUCCUCCUCUAAUCCCCUCUUACCUGUGAGAAGAGGAAGGCCCUUCCCAGGGAACCAGCCCACCUUGGCACCUCAAGUCACUGCAGGACUGGACACAUCCUCUCUCACUGAGGCCAGACAAGACAGCUCAGUUAGGGGAGCAGGAUCCACAGGCAGGCAACAGAGUCAGGGUAAACCUUCACAUAAAGACCAAGCUGCACAUCUGCUAGAUGUGUGUGGACCUAGGUCCAGCCCAUGUUUGCUCUUUGGUUGGUGGCUCAGUCUCUUGGAGCACCCAAAUGUCGAGGUUGGUUAACUUUUGUUGGUCUUCUUGUGGACUCCUAUCCCUUCUGAGUUCUUCAAUCCUUUUCCCCAACUCUCCCAUAAGAGUCCCCCAGCUCUGUCUAAUGUUUGACUGUGGGUCUUUGCAUCUGUUUCAGUCAGCUGCUGGGUGGAGUCUGUCAAAGGGCGGUUAUACUAGGGUCCUGUUUAUGAAUCAAGGCUGACAGAAACAAACAUAGCCUGAGGCUCCAAGGUAGUUGAAGGAGGAUGGCAGGACUACAAUGCCCCAUUAGAUCCUCUGAGGACAGCUAGGCACAUUCCCCUGAAAUGUUGCUACUGCAUACAUUUAUGUCUGUCUCACACAGGGUACCUGUGCAUCAGCACUGAUAAAUAUAGCUGUCAACAGUGUCUUCACAUGUUGCAUCAUUGUGGCAAGGCUUUGACCAACAAAGAGGUAUCAAAGAUCUCCCAGUAUGUCCUUGUAGUUUUCCAGAGUGAGAAGGAGCUGUAAACCCAAGUUCUGAAAAUAAUGCUUAGAGGUCUGGGACACGUGGAUGCCAUUCAUGUCUGCCUCUGCCCCCUGCACCUCUGGGCACCUACCUCUGUAUUGCAUGUAUGUUCUACAUACUAUUUGGCCCUUUAACUUGUACUAAGAAACCACUGGAGACAGCAAUACCUCAAGAUUUCAUCAGACAGAGCCUUCUCUACACUCCCUACCUCUCUCCUAUCCCUCUUCAUUUCCAGGCUGACUCACGAGCCAACACAAAACAGUCUCAGGCUGUUGCAGUGGUAUCAUGACAGAAGUGUGUGCACUGUCUAGCUUCCUUCUAGAGUGUGCAUGGCUUCUUCCUUGACCUUUACCAUCGCUUUCCUGGCACUUCAGUUGUGUAGGAAGUUUUAGUGCCCCAUGGACCAUGUGUCUCACUCACUUGCCUUUCAUCCCUUCAAAUGUGUCCUUCAAAAUAUCAGAGGAUAGAGUAAAGUUGGACUUAAAAAAAAUCUCCCCUUCCUGUAGGAAGCAAUGCACAUGAGUUUUCUCUUUGACACAGACAUGUACUUUGUUUCUGACACUUUAAAAAGGGUCUGCAAGAUCAAAGAUCUUCAUGCAACACCUGUUCCAACUCUUCUCAAUGGCCACUGACCCAUUCUUUGAGAUUUUUAUUUUGUGCAGGUGUUCCCCUCUCAGUGAGAUUAUGGCAUUAAACCAAACAAAACCCCAAGUCUGUGUGUUCAUGUGGCUCUCCAUGUAUGUGCACACACAGUUAUAUAGCUUUUCACAACACAUUCUCAGAGAUGGUGGAGUUAAAUCCCCCAGCUGCCACUGUGCUGACUUAUAAAUGUCCUUUUGAUAGUCUUUUAUUAACAGCAAAUUGAAUGACUCUAAGGGAUUAGUGCAGAAAAGGAAACAAACAUAUUAAGAAAUGCUUUUGUCACAGGUGAAACACCUGGCAUUAGCCACUGUGCCUGCUUGAAUGAAUUUUCAGAGUUGAAAGUAUUUUAACUGAUAUAUAAAAACAAAAAUUAUACAUAUUAAUGAACACACAUUGUUUCAUUAUAUGUUUACAUCAUUUAAUGCUUAAACCAUAUUAAACAAAUCUCCUCAAACAUUGAUCAUUUCUUCAUGCUGAAAAUAUUUAAAAAUCCCUUUUUAAAGUUCUUGGAAACACCCAGAGCAUUGACUGCUGCAGUGCUGCUGGAUAAUAACCUGGCAGGACAUCUUGCUGUUGUGUAAUUGUAACCCACUACUUCUUGCCACCCUUUCCUCACAGACGUCCUCUGAUCUCCACCAUUUACUUCUCUGCUUCUGUGACACCACCUUCUGUAGAAAUGUGCUUGGCUUGUUCCCUUAGCUCAAGGCUCUCUAGUUUGUGAAUGAUAGGACUCUAUUUUCUUUUUAUGGCCAACUAGUGUUCUAUGACACACAUGUACCAUGAUGUCUGUGUCCAUUUAGCAGCUGAUUAACAUGGUUCCUAUUUAUUUGUUGUUCUAAGAUACAAGUCUCUUUGAUAUGCCAUGUUUCUUUUGAUAUAACUUAGUAUAUAUUCUGGAUCAUGUGAUACUUUUUUCUCUUCUUUUUUUCCUUAAUCACUUUGUAAAUCUGGACUAUAAUGAGAUACCACUUCACCCCCUUGAGAACGACAUUGUCAGAAUGAAAGGAGGCAAGCCCUGGUGAGGCUGUGGAGAUUGGGAACUCUGCACACCGAGGGAGGAAAUUAUGUUCACGGUGUUGUUAAGUUUGAGGAUGGCAACUUCUUCUCACUAAAGCAGGUGCUGAAUUUUCUUGCAACCUGUGUGUGGUGUUCACCUGUCUACACAGUACCAGUGGGACGACAGAACCAGGGCUUCAGAAGGGGCCCAGGAAAUGGCACUGAGAGUAAGAACAAAGAGCUGUUCGGAGCAAGCAGCACACUUUGUUCACGUGUCCCAGAUAAGGACUUCUGAUUUUACAGGCCUGACAGAUAAUCAAGGCCUUAUUAUACUGGGUGUCAGGCAGAGGGUAAUAUUUUCAGAGGGCAACUACUUAAAAAACAAUUUCUGUCACACCGGCUGCCCACACGUCAGGCCGCCUGCCUCGGAGCCACUCUGCUGAUUUGGAAAUAAAUUAUGCUGAUUGCUCCCGAUAUGAGGGGAUCCAUCAUCAUCUGCCUUUGAAUUCAUCUGGCCACCCUAUAAUCCAGCGUCUUCCUCUGCGGUGUUAAUGAGACCUCACAGCCCUCCCCUGGAGGCCCUGUGCUGGGCUGCCAUGAGGGGGGGCUGGGCCCCUGCACUCCUGGGGCUCAACCCUCAACCUCCAGUGUGUCCUCCACUUUGCAUGUGAUUACUCUGAGCUUAGCCCCAGUUCUGAAGUUCCAAGGAACGCUGCCUGCUGGCUCCUGGAUGGCUUUCUCUUUACCAGAUUUAUUGUUCCAAAAACUUUCCUGCCCUGAAUGAUUUGAGCUGGAGAACUGAAUCGAAGCCCCUCCUUACGGACCUGGCCUGUCUCUUCCUUUAAGCCCAGUGGUUAUGUUCUCUGUGUUGGUAUAAGGAGUGUUUCAUCCUAUUGGAUUUGAGGACCUUGAAGUUAGCUAGAAUGUUAGGUUUCAACUGCUGAAUGCUUAUUUUGUUUUAAGACAAGGGCAAGAUAAAAUGAUAGACACACAUGUGUUAGAAGAGAGGCCCCAGUGACAGUCUUGUCUGUUAGCGAUUCUCAUUGUAGCUGUGUGCACACGGGCAGCCUGCAGGGAGGGUUGCUGGCCUUCAUCACAUUCUCAAGUGGUCUGUGACCACUGAAUAACACAUGGGUGAGCUAACUAAAUGGGUAAAUAAAAAUAAAUCACCGAGUACCACAGGGGCACGCAUGGCUGCUGCACUGUCAGUGCACAGCACCGUCAAGGUUGUGUGAAUUCGGAUGUGAUCUGACAAAUGUUCCAAUUUUCCUGGUGACCAGAGGCAGUUAGAGAUCAGAACCUAGGUCCACUCUAACCCAGGGUGUUCUUCCCAGAAAGCCCCUCUGAGGCUUCCCAGCGAGACCGCAUUCCCCUCUGUGCUUCAUGCUGGCUUAUGUUGAGAGUUGCCCUCAUACUCUCCCACAUUGGACCCCUCUCUAACCAAGGAUAGUGCAAUGACUGUGGGUGCCCCACUUUCUCCUCCUUUUGUGUGCUUGGCAGUAUCAACUCUAAGAAGAUCCAGUCACUAGGUUGCAGCCAUGUUGGACCUGCCUCUAGUCUUCUGGUUCUGUUUUGGCAAGCUCUAGAUAAGAGUGGCAGGGUCUGUGAGACAUGGGCCCUGAGCACAGUGGCUGAGAGUGACACUCCUACUUUGAGAACCCCUGAGACCACUUCUUAGAGAGAUGAAUAGCAGCACCCAGGGUACAGGGUCUGCAAGUCCUUGGAUUUCAAGGCAGGACAUGGUAUACCAAAGAGUAGCAUCAUGAUAGGGGCAAGGACUGCCAUGAGGUGAGACUUCAGCAUUCACAGGGGACUUAUGCUUGACCUUGGCAGAGAGGUACACUCACUGGAGCCUAACUACAUGGCUUCAUUUUUGCCUUCCUCCUCACAGAGGCUCUGCAUAGAUAACUGGACUGGGGUUUCCUGUUUCCCUGGGGCUUACUGAGUGUUAGGUGCUAUGUGUUUUUUGUAGCACUCAGCUCAGCUAAGGCCACUCCUUCAGUCAGAAAGUUUAUGCCAUGUCUGCCCUCCUGUCCCAGUGCUCCCUGUAUGCAUGUUUCUCUGUGUGCCUCGUCCCGUCUCUUUGUUUGCCUCUGUGUCUGUGUUUCUUUUCUCCCCAACCCCCCUCUCUCUGUAUGUAUGUGCACAUGUAUGUAUGAAUACAUGUGUACUUAUAUGUGUUAAUAUGGAGGUUAGAGGUUAACAUUGGAUAUUUUCUUCAGUCUCUCUAAAUGUUAUUUUUUUUUGAGACUGAGUUUCUCAUUGAACCCAGAGCGCAUCAAUCUAGGUAUACUGGCUGACCAAUGAGCUCAGUGAUUGUUUUGUCUGUUUCCCCAGCUUUCAUAGAGGUGCUAGGGUUUGAAUAAAUGUUCUCCUGAUUAUUCAGCAAGCCUUUUCCUAAGCCCUUCUUCACAGCCUCCACCCCUGGCUCUUACUGGCUGUAGUGGGUAUUUCCCAAGAAUGGAGAAUUUUCUCCCCAGGCACAUUUUUGAACUUGAGAGACAGCAGCCUCUUUUUCAUGCAGUGGGUGAGAAAGAGCAGCCUGUGCUCUGUGGACACAGAGGAAGGGAAGCAAGGGUGUUGACUUUCUGAUCCUUCUCCUUCCAUAGGACCAUGGGUAUUAGGGCCUUGGUACUCUAUUGACAGUAUUCUUUGUUUCAUAGAGUGGCUUCAAAGUGAAACUCUUCCCGUAAAGUCUGCAGUAGCUUCCUGAUGGAAUGGAAGGCAAUAGCAUGGACUUGGUUACUAAUGUACAUGGUGGGGUAACUGGCUGGCUAGCUGCACAUGCGCAUUAGCACUUGAGUUCUAUUGCAUAUGUUCUCCAGCGUUUUCUGCAAUGAGAUUCUGAUAUCCCUAAGCAGUGAAUACCCCAGGUCCACAUCUUGGUCUCUAAGAUCAUUCUCCAAUAAAAGGAAAGGGGACCUUGGAGAAAUGAAAUUCAAGAGCUGAGCAAAGCAAGGGCUGGAGAGUUGACA